GGGAUAUGGCUUAGUGCUAGAGUGCUUGCCUAGCAUGCAUGAGGCCCUGGAUUCAAUCCCAGUGCUCG
rnacentral:tRNA from 1 species